rnacentral:rRNA from 1 species
CUUUCGCUCCCCUGGCUUUCGUCCAUGAGCGUCAGUAAUGGCCCAGCAGAGCGCCUUCGCCACUGGUGUUCUUCCCGAUAUCUACGCAUUUCACCGCUACACCGGGAAUUCCCUCUGCCCCUACCAUACUCAAGCCGAUCAGUUUCCACUGCCAUGAUGGAGUUAAGCUCCACGCUUUAACAGCAGACUUGAAAGGCCGCCUGCGGACGCUUUACGCCCAAUAAUUCCGGAUAACGCUUGCCACUCCCGUAUUACCGCGGCUGCUGGCACGGAAUUAGCCGUGGCUUAUUCCUCAAGUACCGUCAUAUCUUCUUCCUUGAGAAAAGAGGUUUACAGCCCAGAGGCCUUCGUCCCUCACGCGGCGUCGCUCCGUCAGGCUUUCG